AUACGGAGGGUCCAAGCGUUAUCCGGAUUUAUUGGGUUUAAAGGGUCCGUAGGCGGGAAAAUAAGUCAGUGGUGAAAGCCUGCAGCUCAACUGCAGAACUGCCAUUGAAACUGUUUUUCUUGAGUAUAGAUGAAGUGGGCGGAAUGUAUCAUGUAGCGGUGAAAUGCAUAGAUAUGAUACAGAACACCGAUUGCGAAGGCAGCUCACUAAACUAUUACUGACGCUGAGGGACGAAAGCGUGGGGAGCGAACAGGAUUAGAAACCCCAGUAGUCC
rnacentral:rRNA from 1 species